rnacentral:rRNA from 1 species
UACGUAGGGUGCGAGCGUUACUCGGAAUUACUGGGCGUAAAGCGUGCGCAGGCGGUUCGUUGUGUCGGCGGUGAAAGCCCCGGGCUUAACCUGGGAACGGCCGUUGAAACUGGCGAACUGGAGUGUGGCAGAGGGGGGUGGAAUUCCGCGUGUAGCAGUGAAAUGCGUAGAGAUGCGGAGGAACACCGAUGGCGAAGGCAGCCCCCUGGGCUAACACUGACGCUCAGGCACGAAAGCGUGGGGAGCAAACAGG